rnacentral:rRNA from 1 species
GACAGAGGUGCCAAGCGUUAGGCGGAAUCACUGGGCUUAAAGCGUGUGUAGGCGGAUGCCUAAGUACCUUGUGAAAUCCCACGGCUCAACCGUGGAACUGCUUGGUAUACUGGGUGUCUUGAGCCAGCUAGGGGCUACCGGAACAAAUGGUGGAGCGGUGAAAUGCGUAGAUAUCAUUUGGAACGCCAAUGGUGAAAACAGGUAGCUGGGGCUGUGCUGACGCUGAGACACGAAAGCCAGGGGAGCAAACGGG